GAAGAAAGUUUUAGUUUACGUUGGCUCCAGUUCACCACAGUGUAUUCUAUCAUGAUAGGGAAGCCAAGGAAGCAUGGCCUGGUCACAUGAUCUCAUCCAACUGAGGAAACAUGACUUAGUCACAUGAGCUCAUCCAGUUCAGGAAACAGAGACUGUUGACGCCACCUUCUAUGGCCCUGGACCCAAGCCCAAGGGAUGGUGCCACCCACUUUUAUGAACCUUCUCACCUGAAUCAGCCUGAUCAAAGCAAUCCUUCACCUGCGUGCCCAGCAGCUGCAGAGAUGCGCCUGGAGCCUCGUGUCCUAGAAUUCAUUCUUCGGAUUCUCAAGACAAGAACCCGAAAGCACUGAUGCGCGCUGGCUUUGGUGACAUUUAGUUUCCAGAACUCUAACUCUCUGAGAAAGACUCUGACAUUCUCGAAGACGCCUCAGUGUUCCCAUGCCAUUUCUGGGGUGUUGGCCGGGACGCUGAAGACGACUGAGUACGUGCAGCAACAGCUAAAGGAUCCACUCUGUCCCCCAUUUCUUCCUGUCUUCUUUGCACAUCCCUUUUGCUGGGGCACUAGGCAAACUUCCUUGAAAUGAGAUAGAGAUAGAAAGAGAGAAAGAGAUGAUAGAUGGAGAAGCAGAUGACAGACAGAAGGAAGAUAGACAGGCAGACAGAAUGACUGAUUUCUGUGGAGGACCUGAGUGAGCCUCUUUCUUCUGCUUUCCCUUUCUAUUACUUGUGAGACCAGGAACUGAAGUAUGCCUGGGCCCCUCCCUGCUCCACGUCUGGAUAGGGAAGCGCACGGCAGUGGCAGAUGUCAAGAGAAUUAGCACUUUUAGGAGAGUUCACGCACAUUUGCAGGGACCCAGUGCUGAAUCCCUCUUAUGAUAUGAACCUGAAUUUCUGGAUGCUGGGAAGAUUGACAAAGUAAGGCCAGCAAACUGGAGCAAGGGGAUGUUAAAAUGUGGCUGUAUGAGGUCUUAGAGUCUGCUAUUUCUAGCUAGCAUGGCCCCUGUACAAAUACAGGCUUUUCUGUGAGGCUCCCAGCCUUUUCUCUGGGACGAUGGUGAUAUGUUCAAUAUACAUUGUGGUUGAUUGAAAGAAAAUAGCCCCCAAAGUGAAAGGCACUAUUAGGAGGUGUGGCCUUGUUAGAGUAGAUGUGUGGUCUUGCUGAAGGAAGUGUGUCACUGUGGAGGCAGGCUUUGAGGUUUCAUAUAUGCUCAAGCCACACCCAGUGAGACAAUUCACUUCCUGUUGCUUUUGGAUCAAAAUGUAAGGACUCCAACAGCACCAUGUCUGCCUGCCUGCUGUCUUGCCUCUCACCAUGAAGACUGAACCUCUAAACUGUAAGCCACCCCAAUUAAAUGUUUUCUUUGUAAAAGUU